GGGCUCUUGGCACAGGGGUAGCGCGCACGCUUCGCAUAGCGGAUUUGCGUGAGGUCGUGGGUUCAAUUCCCACAGUGUCCA